rnacentral:lncRNA from 1 species
CGCAACCAGGUACCAGACCGGAACCACUAUCACGUGGGACCCCAGCUUCAGACUCGCUCGACUCUCCAGCUUGUUGCAAUGUCGCCGGAGUCCGCUCGGCCGAGUCCCUGUUGAUCCCACGAAUCAAAACGCUACCGCCGUUACAAACCCCGGCUGUGGCGAGUGGUUCGAGUCCCUGUCGUUGGAGCGCGCUUCCCCGUGGCCACGAAAUCCAGCAUCUGUAAUUGCGGUGAGAUCUUUCUCCUUUGUCUUACCAUGUUCCUAGGAUUAGACAGCAUGUUGUGGCUUGUGGUUUGGGACCCCAGAUCGCCGGGCAUGGCUGUGGCGGCAGGAUUGCCCACGCGGUCCGCACACACCAUCGCUGCGAGCUGUCGGGAGGAAGAAAGACGUGCCUUGCCGUUGGAUCGUAGGGAGAGGUGGAGAUUAGACGUUGGGCAUACCUGUUUGGGGAAUAGAUCUGAGCCAUAGGAUGAGAUCGAACGGAUUAGGAUAGAUCUUGAUUCAAUAAAAUCUGACUGUCUAACUUUGAUCCGUUGUACAACACUUCGUAUCGCUUUGUUAUAAGAUUCGAGCUAUCCAAUGGCUCAGGCGGGCAGAUACCCCUUCAGCCGUAGCUUUGCAAAAGAUACCCCUAGUUUCUAUUAUUGAAACCGUAGUCCUGUCAAUUUAUAGAACCAUUAACACGGAGCCCUAGUAUUUAUAUUUUAGACAUGGAUUUUAUUAAAUAGUGGUCAUUGUCCAACCCUUUUUGUUAACUGUAAUCAAAUCAGAAAAUCAAUUAUUAUGUACAAAAAUAAACGUAGGAAUUUAGAAAAACCAUAACUUCCUCAUACUAAUUUCAAAUUGACCCGUUCGAGUUGCGUUGUACUCAUAUUAAUGUCAGUCAUCAUUUAGUAAACUUAUUUUAUUAUGUCACAUGUUGUUAACAUCAAGAACUUCAUUUGUUUUAGCUUAUGUUUUACACGUAAACAUUCAGAAAAUUAUAUCUCUUUAACCAUAACUCUGAAUUUAGUGAUUCUCGAACCUACGAUCUCGUAGUAGAGCGUAAAAUAUUCUUACGUAGUUUGUUCUCAUCUUUCAUGUAAUGAUAUUUUAUGUACUCCUUGUCUAUUUGUAUGUAUUGCUACGAGUAGCAGCGAGGUCACGAGAAACCAGAAGACCAACUUGGUGAUAUUCUUACGUAGUUUGUUCUCAUCUUUCGUGUAAUGAUAUUUUGUGGCUUGUGGUUUGGGACCCCAGAUCGCUGGGCAUGGCUGUGGCGACAGGAUUGCCGCCGCGGUGCGCACACACCAUCGCUGCGGCUAUCGGGGAGGAAGAAUGACCUGCCUUGCCGUUGGAUCGUAGGGAGAGGUGGAGAUUAGACGUUGGGCAUACCUGUUUGGGGAAUAGAUCUGAGCCAUAGGAUGGAAUCGAAUAGAUUAGGUUAGAUCUUGAUUCAUUAAAAUAUGACCGUCGAACUUUGAUCCGAUGGACAGCACUUGGUAUUGCUUCGUUAUAAGAUUCGAGCUAAUCUUGGCCGUCUGCCAUGAAUCCAAUGGCUCAGGCGGACAGAUAUCCCUUCAGCCGUGUAGCUUUGCAAAAGAGACCCUCUAGUUUCUAUUAUUGAACUCGCAGUCCUGUCGAUUUAUAGAACCAUUAACAUGGAGCCCUGGUAUUUAUAUUUUAGACCCUGGAUUUUAUUAAAAUAGUGGUCGUCGUCCAACCCUUUUUGGUUAACUGUAAUGAAAUCAGAAAAUCAAUUAUUAUGUAAAAAACGUAGGAAUUCAGGAAAAUCAUAACUUCCUCAUACUAAUUCCAAAUUGACCCAUUCGAGUUGCGUUUGUAACACCCCAGGUGUUACCAAGGCCAUGGUUUCAAUUAUGCACUGAUGACUUGUGAUCACAUGUGGUUAAGUGGAGGAGAAGAAGAACCUAAAACCUUGGAAGCAUGGGUUAGUUAAGAGGGGUUAAUGGCAAAGGCUUCACCCACACAAUUGGAACAAGGGUCAUGUGGAGCCAAGGUGAUUAAACCCUAAAGACACCUAAGGGCACUAGACUUCCAAGCAAGGGAUCAGUGGAUAAGUUAAUCAAAUUGACAAAGCAUGAUCCUAUUCCAUAAAGAAGUUUUAGUAACAAUGUAACCUACCAAAUGCAGGGAGGGAACAUUGCAAAAAGACCCCUUGAUGACCCCAAUUUCACCCCUUAAGUGGAGAGCACACUAGAGCUCUCUAAUUCUCUCUAAGUCAAAAUCUAACCCUAAUCUAAAGAUCCACCAUGUUCACUUAGUAAUUGGCACCAAAACCACUUGGGUUAAAUACCAAAAAGGUGCCAAACCACCUAAGACACCCACUGGAAAAGUUUGAAACCGAGCCCAAGUCGUUUGACAAGAUUUUGCAUGGUUUUUGUCGCGAGGUGGACAGAGGGACAAACCAAAUUUGGCGUCCGCAAAUCUCCCUACCUAUGGCAUAUCUGCCAUUGGAACUCACAUACAAGAGACAUCCCUAGGUGCUAGGAGGAGGCCUGCGCCGGAUUUUUGCCAAUAUUCGCACUUUUGCGAUCUCGGCGAGCUGUUGAGCAAGGGCAGAAGAACACUUCCACGUGUUCAACGCGCUCUGAACGCGCCAGAGCACGCCCAGCGCCCGACCCCGCGCGCCCCGCGCCACGCCUGUGUCUCCUGCCCGCGCCCGCGCCUAUAAAGCCCACCGAAGCUUCAACCGUACUCCCCCACGCGCUCUCGACCUCACCGGAGCCAGAGAUCACCGGCGUUUGCCCUGCUGACGGCGUGCCAGCGGCCGCCCGAUCCCCCGCCACCGUAGACUGGCCAGCAGAGCCAUCUCCAACCCCGUCCAACCCUCGAAAUAGACUCUACGUGCCUCGGUGAAGCUCCCAGAGCGAGGAAUCGAGCUCUGCCUCACCAGAGACGCCGGAUCAAGGUUGCCGGACUUCACCCGACCGCCGGUGAACGUAGACAGAGCUCCACGGUGAGUUGUUCUUCGAUUCCUUGCAUGGGUUGACCCUUUAGCACACCGUGAAGCUUCUCGUGCCCUUGGAUUGACCUGUAUCACCGCGGAUAGGCCGGAGCACACGCCGUCGACGAGCUCGCCCACCUACGCACGUGGACCGGCCGAUUCUGACCAUCACUUUCGUCGAGCCGCACCUCGUUGUGACCGCAAGGACCUCCCGAAGCCAACCCCACCCUUCGUCGGACUUUCCUCGCCGCCGGUAAGCCGCGCCGCCCUUUUUCCUUUCGCGGGAACUGUUCAAAAGGGGGGGACCUCGGGGAAGAAGAAAUAGAAGCCAGGGGUUUUUGAACUGUCAGAGACUCAGGGGAAUAGUUGCGCAGGGGUAUAAAUUAAAGGAAUGGUUUAGGAAGAACCCAGGGACCUCGGUGCAAACUGGUUUUCCAGGAAACCUUUUUAAUAUUUCUAAUUUAAAUACAAACAGAGCUUGUAAAAUUCAUAACUUCAGUUUUAUUCAACCAAAUUUGGUCAAACCAAUUUUGCCUGAUUCUAAAUAAUGUGAACUACUUAGGAAAAAUACAAAACCCUCUUAGUAUUGCAAAAGAAUUUUAAGUUUGGAUUUAAAUAUUGUUUUGGCCAAAAGUUAAAUAAUAGAAGGAAAAAUAGUUACACUAUUAGACUGAGGUUAAGAAAAAUCAGAGAAGUACUUAAUCACUCCUUGAUCUGUUCAAAAAUAGUAAACCCCUCAGUACACCAAAUUAAGGUAGGGUUUGCCAUUUAAAUCAUUUUUAGCUUAAAGAUAAAGAAAAUAGAAAAGGUAAUUUAAAAUAAAAACCAUGGAGCAACCACAUUUUUGUUAACUCACUUAUUUAAUGUAGUUCACUGGAAAAAUUUAUUAGACCUUUGUUUAGUACAAAGGAAAUGAGAUACCUUUUAUUUAAUGAAAACUUAGGAAAAUCUUAGAGAAAUAAUCCUGAGGAGAAAACACCCGAAACCUUGGGAUAACUAAUACUUUGUUAUUAUAAACAUAGGAAAAAUAUGAAAUCUGUUGUUUAGUAUUUUUCAAAUAACAAGUUAGUUAUAAGUACCUUUUUGGCAUGAAACUUUAGAAACUCACAACUAAAUAUCCAGUAGGCCUUUUUCUGUGAUUUUUAACACAGAGGCCUAAUAUCACCUAUGAAUCUGGACAAAAAUAAAAUUUGGUACAGAAACUUCACUUACAUCAUAGCUAUAGUGUCAAAUGUCGUUUUACACUUGUUUUUGUUAAUUUUGCACAAGUAGUAUCUGAAUCAGUAUCCACCUCAAUUUUUUAGGAGAACCCACAAAUGUUAAUGGUAACCCACUGUAAUUUUUACAGAAAUUUUGGAAAUUUUAAAAUCACUGUUUUAGUUCAAACCCAACUUAAGAGCAUGAAAAGAGAAUAAAAGAAAGAAUUAAGUAGUGGAGAUAAAUGUUACCCUGACCAAGACAGCAAAACUCUUAAGUACCUACUAAGACCUUUAAGGGCAAUCCAAACCUUAAUCCACUACAGUUGCCUCUAAGCAAAACCUCAAACCUAAAUUGAUAAACAUAAAUCACCAGAGCUUCUUAUAACCAGGAAAACCCUAAGUUAUCAAAUAACUUAGUUCUUCUUCACUACGCAAAAUGGUUACUAAAUCAUGCAUAUCAUAGCAUACAUAUUUCUUACUCUUUGCAUUCGAUAGAUUGCAACCUCGCUGACGGAGAGUACAUCCUCGUGCCGGAGCAAGGAUUUGCUCAGGAGGUAGCCCCGGAUCCAGCACUAGAGCCUGCCGUCGAGGAUCUGCCUGUCCUAGCUUUGGAAGGCAAGCCCCGGUUUUAUGCAUAACCGUUAUAUAUGCUAUUUUACUACACUUAAUGUUUGUAGGCUUGUAUUGUGCACUUAAGUGUAGGAGUUGACUGAAACCCUAGUUGCAUGAACUCAGGAUUCCUUUUGAGAUGGAUACUAGUAUGCUAGGUCGAGUAGCUGCUUUACUAAUCAGGGAUCUCGGUAGAAGUCGAGUGAUUUUUCUAGCACUCGCGCGAGGUCAGGAAUUGGUUGUAUCCAUUUUUAUAUCAUAUUGAUGAUGGUCUGUGGAUAACGAUCCAUGGGGAUGCGUUGUCUACGAGACGGAAAUUGGAAUAAGGAUUAAGGUGUGGUACCGUGUGUCAAGCGUUUGAACGUACUAAACAAAUGCCGAGAAAUAUGGUAAAUCGGUAAGCCUAGUACCUGAGUGAAACUGCCCGCAGAUUGCCCUCCUCACGCGACCAGAGACGUGGUUUCCCAUUCCGGUUAUGGUGGGUACAAGUGCGGUCACUGCACGACGGCAGUCGGGGUCAGUGAGGCAUUGUACGCCAAGGCGGUGAGCCCCUUUCUGUUGCCAAGGAAUCGAUAGGGAUGGUUGAUGUGUGUAGGGAUGGAGUGCCUCGCCACGUCGUGUGUUUAGGUUUACCUUGCAAGGUUGAAACUCGAUUCGAAUCGUCUGCUUCUCGCAGCUAAUGAGACUCCUUGAUCCAUGCUGCUACAUUGAGUAACAAGUGGAAAUGUGAUGACUUGGCAAAAGUUGUUGAUUGCUAAAUGUUUGAUACCAUGUAUGAUUAGAUAGGUAUACAUUUAGUCUUAAGAGAUUCACACUAAAACUUGAAAAAGCUAAAACUUGAUUUUUAGACUCAGCUAGUGCUUUUGACAAACCAAACCCUUCAGCCAAACAGCUGCAUGUCUAGAGGUAGAGGAGUAGACUCCUCACACCGGGUAAGUCUAGCUGAGUAUUAGUAUACUCAGCCUUGCUUGUGGCAUAAUUUUUUACAGGUUCUCUGGAGGACAUGGUUGCUGGAGUGACUUGGCCGUCCAUCUUGCCACCGGGAUGGACAGUCGAGUGGGACCCUACCUCGGCUGAGGAGGAGCAUGAGGAGUGAUGGGACAGGCUUCCCCAUCCCUCCAUUUAUUUACCGUUAGUUUUAUUCCACUGCAUUCCGAACAAUGAUCUCCACUUUUGCUAAAACUCCAAUGUUGAUGUAAUAAUUUGAUACUCCUUAAUGUAUGGUUUUAUGCUUUAUUGUAUUUGCUUUAUGCCUCACCUUCGAGUGAGUACGUGGUACUUGAUCUUGUUAGUGGCCUCAUCGGACUAGAUCCGAGGGACUGAUGUGUUAUUCCUAUUUAAGUGCGGUCUAGCCUCUAAGGCGGGACUUAGGCACUUAAGUUGGAAUAAUUCGGGCGGUUCCGCCACAGAUGGUAUCGGAGCUCGUACCACCACAGAGGAAUCAAUAAACUAUAAAUACCAUCCUUUCAAAAGUAAAACUUGAUAGAAACAAAUGCUGGAUAGAUCGUCAGGACGAUAAGGAUAGACCUAGGACGUGAAGCCUUAGGAUGAUAGAAGGGUAGCUAGGUGGCUAUUUGAGUAAGCCCUAUAGGCUACUAUAAGGGAUGGGAGUUCUUCCCUAUUCCCUCUAAGUUGAAGUGAGGUCGUUUAGGACGAACAUGCAUGCAUCCGUACUUAAACUAUUAAUAAUUGGGUAAGAACUUUAAUACACGAUAAUGACAAUAUUAAGUACACCCAGUGCCAUUGUCGUAGUCAUAGAGAGGCUGAGUUUUGAUCCCUUUUUAUUUUAUAAUUCUUUUUCUUUUUACUCACGCUUAACAGUACACAUAUGACUUCUCACGGAUCCUCGGAAGAAGGGAACGCACAGUCCCACACGGACGGGGUUGCACGAGAGGGUUUUCCCCGUAUCUUAUGGGAGGUGAUUCAGGGAGCCGGUUACGCGACGCCUCCCCAGUACGCGGUUUGAGAAGCACCGAGUGCCCCGCUGUAGGGUGAGGAUGACCCUGGAGCAUCAUCCCCUACAGCCAGGCUAGCAUUCGUUGGACUCUGAGUCUUUCGAAUACCGUGCUGAGGACACUAUCGAGGCGAUUGCUCUUUACGGGCUGACUACCUUCUGUGGUUUUCACCCAUUAGAGCUGUCUACUCAUCCCAAUGGCUUGUUCCCUGCUGAAAAGGAGGACAACCCAAUGUGGAAGGACAGAGUGGAGCAUGCCAAGGAUAUCUGGGCUCUUUACCCAUGGCAGACUGCGUGCUUGACGGUUCGAUGCAUGGAUGCUCUGUAUCGUCAGCAGGUGAGGCGAGGAGAGGCAAUGUCUCAUCUGAUGGCAUUAUUGGAGGCUACCAAGAUCACCUUGGACAACAGAGAGUAACUUGUGGUAGACCUGUCCACUGAGAUGGUGGAAAAGGAUCUACAGGUGGAACAGAUGUCCAACGAGAUUCAGGAGCUUGAGGAGCUAGUGGGAACCAGGGAGAAUACCAUUGAGGUUCUCGAGGAUCAGCUCAUCAACACUCAGUAGCAACUCGCGGAAGCUAACCAACAUUUGGAUAUGCACCACCAGGAGAUCCAGGACAUGGAGGCCAACGAGGAUGUCGACAUCGAGGGAGGAGAGGAGCCGGAGCCUGCCUCCAGUUGGACACUGCUGGCUUAGGGAGACCCCUUCCCCCGAGUCGAGCGUUGCCUCGUUUGCUCACUAGGUCGCCUAGAUAGGGUUAGCAGUGUGUGGCGGUAAAACUCCUCGAGGCUAGCUUAGCUUUUGCACCCUUGGGGUACUAGGCUAGACAGGGUUGAGUCUUUUGGGUCACUGAUGUAUCUUAGCAAACUCUUUUGGAAGUAUGGAUGAUGAAUGAUGUCAGUUUUAAUUGAUGAAGGAAGAUUUUUAUGCCAUGUGGAAUCUUUUUAUGAAUUACGCAAGAAGAUACUGGUUUUACCCUUUUGAAUCUUUCUCCACGUAUGAACCUUGACAUCAGAAAUGUGAUAUUGAGAGCAUUCUUGAUUUUUCAGAUGGCAGGAAGAGCGCGUCGUGGACAGAAUGAACGUAUUCCUCCGCCACCGCCUCCUACUCUGCAAGAGCUGAUGGCUCAGCAGAAUGAGAUCUUGCGACAGUUGGCUCAGCGUCAGCUGCCACCUCAGCAUUAUGGUGGUGGUGAUCAUCAGCGUCACCUAUCAGCAGCCACUUAUCAGGAGUUUCUCGGCACGCAGCCACCUUUGUUCACUCGGGCAGAGGAUCCACUUGAUGCGGAUGUAUGGCUUAGGGUAGUGGAAUCCAAAUUCCCACUACUCAAUGGAGUUUGUUCAGAGGUGACUAAGGUCAGGUUUGCCACCCAGCAGCAUCGCGGACCCGCACGGACAUGGUGGGACCACUUUCUUGCUAUGCAGCCAGUUGACCAUGAGGUGGAAUGGAGAGAGUUCAAGGCAGCUUUCAGGGGGCAUCAUAUACUAGCAGACAUUAUGGAUCGCAAGCUCAAUGAGUUUCUGGCACUCACUCAGGGGAACCGGAUAGUGUUACAGUACGCUCAGGCCUUCAAUGACCUGUGCCAGUAUGCCGGAUAUCAUGUAGACACUGAUGAGAAGAAGAGGGACAGGUUCAGGAGGGGGCUCAGCACUAAGCUCCGCGACCGUCUCAACACCGUCAGGGCCAACAGUUACAAUGAGUUACUUAACAUGGCCAUAUCUCAGGAGGACUGCAUCACAGCUCGUCAGGUAGAAAAGAAGAGGAAGACCCCUGUGGUAGGACCUUCAGCUCAGCCACAGCGCUUCAGGAUUGUAUCUGACCUCCAGAACAGGGGACCUCAGCAGCAGCAAGGACGUUGGGUGAUCCGACCACAGCAGCAGCAGCAGGCACCCAACCGCUCUCAGCCCCCAGUUCAGAGGAACAAUCAGCCACAACAACAGCAGUACCGUCAGGCAAAUGACAACAGGUGUUUCACUUGCGGUAACACUGGGCAUUAUGCUAAGAAUUGCCCCAGAAAUCAGCAGAGGCAUGGACAGAAUUCCAAUCAAAACCAAGGAAAGAGGCAGAAGGUGCAAGUGAGGCAAGGCAGGCUGAACUUCACCACCAUGGCUGAUAUUCCAGAGGGAGCACCCGUCAUGACUGGUAUCUUCUUCGUUUUGAAUAAUCCUGCAAUUAUUCUUUUUGAUUCUGGUGCAUCACACAGUUUUAUCAGUGCCAAAUUUAGUGCCAAGUGCCAGUUACCUUUUCACCACACCAAUGGGGGUAUUACCAUUUCAACACCAGGAGGCAGGGUUGCCACCUAUCAAAUCAAUAGGCAGGUGCCUAUAAAAUUUGGUAGUCUUGUGAUUAGAACCACCCUUCUCAUCUUAGGGUUGGAUAGUGUGGAGAUUAUAUUGGGAACUGAUUGGUUAUCCAGGCAUUAGGCAGUACUUGAUAUUGCAGCAAUGACCAUUGAGAUUGACUCCCCUACUUGUGGCGAGACUACUUUAUAUUUGCCCGAUCAGGGUUGUACCCGCUCUUGUGCAUUCACCAUGAUAGAUUCACCGGUUGAAAGAAUCCCUGUAGUAUGUGACUACCCAGAUGUUUUUCCUGACGAAUUGCCAGGAAUGCCACCCGACAGAGACAUAGAGUUCGCGAUUGAAUUACAACCCGGGACUGCUCCUAUAUCCAAGAGACCCUAUAGGAUGCCUCCAGCGGAACUGGUGGAAUUGAAAAAGCAACUACAAGAUUUGUUGGACAAGGGGUUCAUUCGCCCGAGUACUUCACCAUGGGGAUGUCCAAUCUUGUUUGUAAAGAAGAAGGAUGAAAGUCUGAGAUUGUGUGUCGAUUACCGCCCUUUCAAUGCGGUGACCAUCAAGAACAAAUACCCAUUGCCUCGCAUUGAUGUAUUGUUUGAUCAGUUGGUGGGAGCCAAAGUAUUCUCCAAGAUAGACCUACACUUGGGCUACCAUCAGAUCAAGAUCAGGGCCAGCGAUAUUCCAAAGACGACUUUCUCUACCAGAUAUGGGCUUUAUGAGUAUUUGGUGAUGUCUUUUGGGCUGACCAAUGCCCCAGCUUACUUCAUGUAUUUUAUGAAUUCAGUCUUUAUGCUAGAGCUGGACAAGUUUGUGGUGGUCUUCAUUGAUGACAUUCUGGUGUAUUCCAAGAAUGAAUCCGAGCACACUAAGCAUUUGCAUACCGUACUUCAGAGACUGUGUGACCAUCAGUUGUAUGCUAAAUUGUCCAAAUGUGAAUUCUGGCUGAAGGAGAUAAAAUUUCUGGGUCACACCAUUUCUCAGGAUGGGGUAUCAGUUGAUCCUGAAAAAGUACAAGAAGUGAUGAAUUGGAAACCUCCUACAACAGUACGACAGAUCCGUAGUUUUCUGGGAUUGGCAGGGUAUUAUCGACAAUUUAUUCCGGAUUUCUCCAGAAUUGCCAAGCCAAUGACUGAAUUGUUGAAGAAAGGAGUCAAGUAUGAAUGGAGCCAGAAGUGUGAGGAUGCCUUUCACACACUCCGGCAGCAUUUGACAACAGCACCCGUGCUAGCUCAGCCUGACAACACCAACCCCUUUGAGGUUUAUUGCGAUGCUUCCGGUACUGGAUUGGGAUGUGUCUUGAUGCAAGACAACAGGGUCAUUGCUUAUGCCUCCCGAGCACUCAGACCCCAUGAGCAGAACUACCGCACACAUGACCUGGAGUUAGCGGUCGUGGUUCAUGCUCUCAAGAUUUGGAGACAUUACUUAAUGGGAGCUCACUGUAAUAUUUACACUGAUCAUAAGAGUCUCAAAUAUAUCUUCACCCAGGCUGAUCUUAAUAUGAGGCAGAGAAGAUGGUUAGAGCUAAUCAAGGACUAUGAUUUGGAGGUGCAUUACCAUCCUCGCAAAGCCAAUGUUGUGGUAGAUGCCUUAAGCAGGAAAGCCCAGUGCAAUUGUAUGAAUAUGGAUGCAAGGAUCACCACCCUAUGUGAUGAGUUGUGCAAGCUGAGCAUAGAAGUCGUUUCCUCCGGUGCUUUAAGUUAUAUUUCAGUGGAGCCCACCUUACAUGAGCAAAUAGUCAGGGCACAGAUUGGUGACAAGGGUGUCUAAGUCAUUAAGGAAAUGAUCAAACAGAAGGAGGAUAAAUACAAAUGCUUCCGACAGGACAACAAAGGGAUUCUAUGGUUUGGAGACCGAUUGGUGGUUCCCAAGAACCCCGAGCUCAGAAAGAAAAUAUUGGAUGAAGCUCACCUUUCCAAAUUCUCCAUGCACCCGGGCAGUAACAAGAUGUAUCAUGACCUCAUAUCCUUGUACUAGUGGACCAGAAUGAAGAGGGAAAUUGCGAAGUAUAUAUCUGAAUGCGACACCUGCCAGAGAGUCAAGGCCAGUCAUUUGAAGGUAGCAGGCACUUUAUAGCCCCUUCCCAUACCAUCCUGGAAAUGGGAGGACAUUUGCAUGGAUUUCAUUGUGGGAAUACCUCCCGACACCACGAUUCUAUUUGGGUCAUUGUGGAUAGGUUGACCAAGACAGCUCAUUUCUUGCCGGUACAUACCACCCACAGGGCAGAGAAAUAUGCAGAAAUCUACAUUGACCAGAUAGUUCGCUUGCAUGGAAUACCAAGGACUAUCGUAUCUGACAGAGGAGCACCGUUCGUGGCACGUUUCUGGGAGCAAUUGCAAGAAUCACUUGGGACUCAUGUAAUAAGAAGCUCAGUAUACCAUCCUCAAACUGAUGGUCAGACAGAAAGGGUGAAUCAGAUUUUGGAAGACAUGUUGAGGGCAUGUGUGCUACACUAUGGAAAGGAUUGGGACAAGUGUCUUUCAUUGGCAGAGUUCUCUUAUAAUAACAGCUACCAGUCCAGUUUGAAGAUGGCACCUUUUUGAAGCCUUGUAUGGGAGAAGGUGUAGGACACCGCUAAAUUGGUCACAAGCUGGAGAAAGGGAAAUUUUUGGACCUGACCUGGUUCUUGAAGCCGAGGAGAAAGUCAGAGUCAUUAAGAGGAAUUUAGAAGCUGCUCAGGCCAGGCAAAAGAGCUAUCAUGACAAGAGGAGGAAGCCUCUACAGUUUGGAGUGGGAGAUCAUGUCUAUCUGAAGGUGUCACCCACCAAAGGUGUUCAAAGAUUUGGAAUCAAGGGCAAGUUAGCUCCUCGCUACAUUGGGCCCUAUGAGAUCAUAGAGAUUUGUGGACCCGUGGCAUAUCAAUUGAAGUUGCCACCCCAUAUGUCAGCAGUUCAUGAUGUGUUCCACGUAUCUCAGCUGCGAAAGUGUGUCCGCUUACCCACGGAAGUACUACUUGAAUCAGAAUUGGAGAUAGAACCAGAAUUAUCCUAUCAAGAGCACCCCGUCAAGGUAUUGGAUCAAAAGGAGAGAUCAACACGGGCAAGGUCGAUCAUAAUGUAUAAGGGUCAGUGGAGUCAUCACUCAGUGGAAGAAGCUACGUGGGAGACUGAGGGUUUUCUACGUUCUCGCUUCCCUGACUUUCUGCCCAAAGGAGUCGGUACGUACUCCAAAAACUCCACCCCCACCUGCCCUUUGAAUCUAAAUAUGAGAAAAACUUAGAUGUUAAAGGUAUAGUAAGCUUUGAAAAUAACUUUAAAAGGACUUCCUUUUGAAGUUGCAAAGAGAAUAACAUUCGAAGAGCAGUUAACUAGAGAAACUUGACUAAGGGAAAAAGGCAGCAUACCAGCACACCUUCUUGGUACCCCUAAAGGAUCCCUACUCGAAAUCUCGGGACGAGAUUCCUUUAAGGGGGGAGGGCUGUAACACCCCAGGUGUUACCAAGGCCAUGGUUUCAUUUAUGCACUGAUGACUUGUGAUCACAUGUGGUUAAGUGGAGGAGAAGAAGAACCUAAAACCUUGGAAGCAUGGGUUAGUUAAGAGGGGUUAAUGGCAAAGGCUUCACCAACACAAUUGGAACAAGGGUCAUGUGGAGCCAAGGUGAUUAAACCCUAAAGACACCUAAGGGCACUAGACUUCCAAGCAAGGGAUCAGUGGAUAAGUUAAUCAAAUUGCCAAAGCAUGAUCCUAGUCCUUAAACAAGUUUUAGUAACAUUGUAACCUACCAAAUGCAGGGAGGGAACAUUGCAAAAAAACCCCUUGAAGGCCCCAAUUUCACCCCUUAAGUGGAGAGCACACUAGAGCUCUCUAAUUCUCUCUAAGUCAAAAUCUAACCCUAAUCUAAAGAUCCACCGUGUUCACUUAGUAAUUGGCACCAAAACCACUUGGGUUAAAUACCAAAAAGGUGCCAAACCACCUAAGGCACCCACUGGAAAAGUUUGAAACUGAGCCCAAGUCGUUUGACAAGAUUUGGCAUGAUUUUUGUCGCGAGGUGGACAGAGGGACAAGCCAGAUUUGGCGUCCGCAAAUCUCCCUACCUAGGGCAUAUCUGCCAUUGGAACUCACAUACAAGAGACAGCCCUAGGUGCUAGGAGGAGGCCUGCGCCGGAUUUUUGCCAAGAUUCGCACGUUUGUGAUCUCGGCGAGCUGUUGAGCAAGGGCAGAAGAACACUUCCACGUGUUCGACACGCUCUGAACGCGCCAGAGCACGCCCAGCGCCCGACCCCACGCGCCCCGCGCCGCGCCAAGCCGCGCCCGUGUCUCCUGCCCGCGCCCACGCCUAUAAAGCCCACCGAAGCUUCAACCGUACUCCCCCGCGCGCUCUCGACCUCACCGGAGCCAGAGAUCACCAGCGUUUGCCCUGCUGACGGCGUGCCAGCGGCCGCCCGAUCCCCCGCCACCGUAGACCGGCCAGCAGAGCCAUCCCCAACACCGUCCAACCCUCGAAAUAGACUCUACGUGCCUCGGUGAAGCUCCCAGAGCGAGGAAUCGAGCUCUGCCUCACCGGAGACGCCGGAUCAAGGUCGCCGGACUUCACCCGACCGCCGGUGAACGUAGAUCAAGCUCCAUGGUGAGUUGUUCUUCAAUUCCUUGCACGGGUCGACUCUUUAGCACCCCAUGAAGCUUCCCGUGCCCUUGGAUUGACCUGUAUCGCCGUGGAUAGGCCGGAGCACGCGCCGCCGACAAGCUCGCUCGCCUGCGCACGUGGACCGACCGAUUCCGGCCAUCACCGUCGUCGAGUCGCACCUCGUUGUGACCGCAAGGACCUCCCAAAGCCAACCCCACCCUUCGCCGGACCUUCCUCGCCGCCGGUAAGCCGCACCACCCUUUUUCCUUUCGCGGGUACUCUUCAAAAGGGGGGAGGGACCUCGGGGAAGAAGAAAUAGAAGCCAGGGGGUUUUUGAACUGUCAGAGACUCAGGGGAAUAGUUGCGCAGGAGUAUAAAUUAAAGGAAUGGUUUAGAAAGAACCCAGGGACCUCGGUGCAAACUGGUUUUCUAGGAAACCUUUUUAAUAUUUCUAAUUUAAAUACAAACAGAGCUUGUAAAAUUCAUAACUUCAGUUUUUUUAACCAAAUUUGGUCAAACCAAUUUUGCCUGAUUCUAAAUAAUGUGAACUACUUAGGAAAAAUACAAAACCCCCUUAGUAUUGCAAAAGAAUUUAAAGUUUGGAUUUAAAUAUUGUUUUGGCCAAAAGUUAAAUAAUAGAAGGAAAAAUAGUUACACUGUUAGACUGAGGUUAAGAAAAAUCAGAGAAGUACUUAAUCACUCCCUGAUCUGUUCAAAAAUAGUAAACCCCUCAGUACACCAAAUUAAGGUAGGGUUUGCCAUUUAAAUCAUUUUUAGCUUAAAGAUAAAGAAAAUAGAAAAGGUAAUUUAAAAUAGAAACCAGGGAGCAACCACAUUUUUGUUAACUCACUUAUUUAAUGUAGUUCACUGGAAAAAUUUAUUAGACCUUUGUUUAGUACAAAGGAAAUGAGAUACCUUUUAUUUUAUGAAAACAAUGAAAACUUAGGAAAAUCUUAGAGAAAUAAUCAUGAGGAGAAAACACCCGAAACCUUGGGAUAACUAAUACUUUGUUAUUAUGAACAUAGGAAAAAUAUGAAAUUUGUUGUUUAAUAUUUUUCAAAUAACAAGUUAGUUAUAAGUACCUUUUUGGCAUAAAACUUUAGAAAUUCACAACUAAAUAUCCAUUAGGCCUUUUCUGUGAUUUUUAACACAGAGGCCUAAUAUCACCUAUGAAUCUGGACAAAAAUAAAAUUUGGUACAAAAAUCUCACUUAAAUCAUAGCUAUAGUGUAAAAUGCUGUUUAACACUUGUUUUUGUUAAUUUUGCACAAGUAGUAUCUGAAUUAGUAUCCACCUCAAAUUUUUAGGAGAACCCACAAAUAUUAAUAGUAACCCACUGUAAUUUUUAAAGAAAUUUUGGAAAUUUUAAAAUUACUGUUGUAGUUCAAACCCAACUUAAGAGCAUGAAAAGAGAAUAAAAGAAAGAAUUAAGUAGUGGAGAUACAUGUUACCCUGACCAAGACAGCAAAAAUCUUAAGUACCUACUAAAACCUUUAAGGGCAAUCCAAGCCUUAAUCCACUACAGUUGCCUCUAAGCAAGACCUCAAACCUAAAUUGAUAAACAUAAAUCACCAGAGUUUCUUAUAACCAGGAAAACCCUAAAUUAUCAAAUAACUUAGUUCUUCUUCACUACGCAAAAUGGUUAUUAAAUCCUGCAUAUCAUAGCAUACAUAUUUCUUACUCUUUGCAUUCGAUAGAUUGCAACCUCGCUGACAGAGAGUACAUCCUCGUGCUGGAGCAAGGAUUUGCUCAGGAGGUAGCCCCGGAUCCAGCACCAGAGCCUGCCGUCGAGGAUCUGCCUGCCCUAGCUUUGGAAGGCAAGCCCCGGUUUUAUGCAUAAUCGUUAUAUAUGCUAUUUUACUACACUUAAUGUUUGUAGGCUUGUAUUGUGCACUUAAGUGUAGGAGUUGACUGAAACCCUAGUUGCAUGAACUCAGGAUUCCUUUUGAGAUGGAUACUAGUAGGUUGAGUAGCUGCUUUACUAAUCAGGGAUCUCGGUAGAAGUCGAGUGAUUUUUCUAGCACUCGCGCGAGGUCAGGAAUUGGUUGUAUCCAUUUUUAUAUCAUAUUGAUGAUGGUCUAUGGAUAAUGAUCCAUGGGGAUGUGUUGUCUACGAGACGGAAAUUGGAAUAAGGAUUAAGGUGUGGUACCAUGUGUCAAGCGUUUGAGCGUUUGAACGUGGUCUCCCAUUCCGGUUGUGGUGGGUACAAGUGCGGUCACUGCAUGACGGCAGUCGGGGUCAGUGAGGCAUUGUACGCCAAGGCGGUGAGCCCCUUUCUGUUGCGAGGGAAUCGAUGGGGACGAUUGAUGUGUGUGGGGACGGAGUGCCUCGCCACGUCGUGUGUUUAGGUUUACCUUGCAAGGUUGAAACUCGAUUCGAAUCGUCUGCUUCUCGCAGCUAAUGAGACUGCUUGAUCCAUGCUGCUACAUUGAGUAACAAGUGGAAAUGUGAUGACUUGGCAAAAGUUGUUGAUUGCUAAAUGUUUCAUACCAUGUAUGAUUAGAUAAAUAUACAUUUAGUCUUAAGAGAGUCACACUAAAACUUGAAAAAGCUAAAACUUGAUUUUUAGACUUAGCUAGUGCUUUUUGCAAACCAAACCCUUCAGCCAAACAGCUGCAUGUCUAGAGGUAGAGGAGUAGACUCCUCACACCGGGUGAGUCUAGCUGAGUAUUAGUAUACUCAGCCUUGCUUGUGGCAUAAUUUUUUAUAGGUUCUCUGGAGGACAUGGUUGCUGGAGUGACUUGGCCGUCCAUCUUGCCACCGGGAUGGACAGUCGAGUGGGACCCUACCUCGGCUGAGGAGGAGCAUGAGGAGUGAUGGGACAGGCUUCCCCAUCCCUCCAUUUAUUUACCGUUAGUUUUAUUCCGCUGCAUUCCGAACAAUGAUCUCCACUUUUGCUAAAACUCCGAUGUUGAUGUAAUAAUUUGAUACUCCUUAAUGUAUGGUUUUAUGCUUUAUUGUAUUUGCUCUGUGCCUCACCUUCGAGUGAGUAUGUGGUACUUGAUCCUAUUAGUGGCCUCGUCGGACUAGAUCCAAGGGACUGACGUGUUAUUCCUAUUUAAGUGCGGUCUAGCCUCUAAGGCGGGACUUAGGCACUUAAGUUGGAAUAAUUCGGGCGGUUCCGCCACAGCGUUGUACUCAUAUUAAUGUUAGUCAUCAUUUAGUAUACUUAUUUUAUUAUGUCACAUGUUAUUAACAUCAAGAACUUCAUUUGUUUAGCUUAUGUUUUACAUGUAGACAUUCAUAAAAUCAUAUCUCUUUAACCGGAACUCUGAAUUUAGUGAUUCUCGAACCUACGAUCUCAUAGCAGAGCGUAGAAUAUUUCUACGUAGUUUGUUCUCAUCUUUGGUGUAAUGUUAGUUUAUGUACUCCUUGUCUAUUUGUAUGUAUUGCUACGAGUAGCAGCGAGGUCACAAGAAACCAGAAGACCAAUUUGGUGAAGUACCUGGAAUCUCAAGUCAUAGACAAGUUGUGCCCUUGAUCACUUUUAUUUACCUAAUAAUGUUUCUGUUAAUCACUAUGAAAUGCUCAUGUUAAUUGGAAGGGAACUAAUAGGUUUCCCUAGUUUGUUUACCUCACACCUUGCAAACAAAUGAACUAUUGGGUAGACUCGCUAUUGCUCUACCUGGAUUUGGAAUUAAUGUUAUAUUGAAUUAUGAUCAUGUUCCAUUACUAUUGUUGGUUUAAUUAUUGUUCAUGAUAAUAUUAUUAUGUUAAAUGGAACAUGGAGCGACCAUCCGGGAAAACAGUGCUACCACAAGGGUGGAAUGGGACGCCCUUGGCUGAAUAAUUAGGAAAGCUAUUGUGAGUUAAUCCUUUCCCGAAAGGGGCAAGCGGGGUGGAGUUGUGCAGGUGUAGGAGGUCCUCGAGUUGGACUGUCUUUUUAGCUUUUCGGACGAGGGAUUCCUACAUCACCUUCGGCCCGGAAUCCAUAGCGGGUUCUCUCCUCUAGUGGAACUUUGUAAAGGCCUCGCAGUGGAUCCCUAGCCAUUCACCAUGGAAGUGUCUAAGGGUCUAGCUAACCCUAGCUAAUCGGUAAACACGUCUAGUGGGUAAAGAUGUGCAACCUCUGCAAAGUGUAAAACUGGUAUAUCAGCAUGCUCACGGUCAUGAGCAGCUCGGACCCUCACAUGAGUAACUUAUGUAAUUAAUCUUAAUUUGCCAUUUGCAUCACAUUGUGGGGUUUAUUAUUAAUUUUGAUCUCUUAUUUUUUUGGGUUGUAUCUACUGAUACUUAGUAAGUGCUAAUAAAACUUUGACCAACUUUAAAAGCAAUGCUCAGCUUUAACCAUCUUCUUUGAUAAGCCUUACACUUCACAUGAGCCCCCACCGUAAGUGAGCUCAUGCACAUUAUUCCCCACAACAUGUUGAGCGAUGAACGUAUGUGAGCUCACCCUUGUUGUACUCACAUCCCCCAGGUCAAAGACAGGUACCACAAGAUAAGAAGCAUGGAGGAUCUCGUGAUGAGUUUGUGAGAGGUCUAGGUCGUCGUCUUCCAGUCAAGUAUGGUUGCGG